rnacentral:rRNA from 1 species
GUGGGGAAUAUUGGACAAUGGGCGGAAGCCUGAUCCAGCCAUGCCGCGUGUGUGAAGAAGGCCUUUUGGUUGUAAAGCACUUUAAGCGAGGAGGAGGCUCUUAAGGUUAAUACCCUUGAUGAGUGGACGUUACUCGCAGAAUAAGCACCGGCUAACUCUGUGCCAGCAGCCGCGGUAAUACAGAGGGUGCGAGCGUUAAUCGGAUUUACUGGGCGUAAAGCGUGCGUAGGCGGCUGAUUAAGUCGGAUGUGAAAUCCCUGAGCUUAACUUAGGAAUUGCAUUCGAUACUGGUCAGCUAGAGUAUGGGAGAGGAUGGUAGAAUUCCAGGUGUAGCGGUGAAAUGCGUAGAGAUCUGGAGGAAUACCGAUGGCGAAGGCAGCCAUCUGGCCUAAUACUGACGCUGAGGUACGAAAGCAUGGGGAGCAAACAGGAUUAGAAACCCGGGUAGUCC